UUUAUAAUAUAGCAUUUGUAAAUUCUGAACGCUGAUUGGCUAAGAGCCGUGUUGAUAUAACUCCAUGUCAACACGGGAAAUUUUCCGCCGCUUGUAACACGGAAAUUGUUCCUAUUCGUCGGGCUUUUGACAUUGCUAUAUUAUAAAACAAAUAUAAAACAUUUUUUCCGUAUUGAUAUAUAGUUACAUCAACACUCGUGGAAGUUGGGAAAACUCGAAAUUGUGUGAAAACACUCCGCCCUUCGGGCGUCGUGUUUCCACACAAUUUCUCGUUUUCCCAAUUUCCACUCGUGUUGAUAUAACUGUA